UUUCCGGUUGAUCCCGCCGGAGGCCACUGCUAUUGGGGUUCGACUAAGCCAUGCGAGUCUAUGGACUUCGGUCCAUGACGGACGGCUCAGUAACACGUGGCUAACCUACCCUCAGGUGGGGGAUAACCUGGGGAAACUGAGGGUAAUACCCCAUAGGGGAAGAGGUCUGGAAUGAUCCUUCCUUGAAAGGACAUCCGCCUGAGGAUGGGGCUGCGUCCGAUUAGGUAGUUGGUGGGGUAAUGGCCCCCCAAGCCUACGACCGGUACGGGCCUUGAGAGAGGAAGCCCGGAGAUGGGGACUGAGACACGGCCCCAGGCCCUACGGGGCGCAGCAGGCGCGAAACCUCCACAAUGCACGAAAGUGCGAUGGGGGAACCCCAAGUGCCUAUGCACAGCAUAGGCUUUUCCCAANUGCAAACAGCUUGGGGAAUAAGGGCUG
rnacentral:rRNA from 1 species